rnacentral:rRNA from 1 species
CUUGUUUUUGCGUGCAAAACGCUUUGUCCAAUCCGCUCCGCGUGCUCGCACCGUACCCAAUCCCAUCCUCUCCCCUGGUCGUCCCGAUCCACACCAGCCGCCGCACAACCCUAGCCCCUUUCCCCUUGAUCCCCACAGCCCCUCCCUCCUCCUCGCUCUCCGCCAUGGCCUCUGCACUAGGAGCCUCUCCAUGGCCUCCUACCCAUCCCCCCCACCACCAUAGGUGCACACAGAUGGUCGAUCCGUGCCGGAGAAGAGCAGCUCCAGUUAUGGUGGGGUGCAUCUGUGCCGAAGAUGAAGGAGGUCCGCCGCCCGUCUUUGCCUCCUCGCUGCGUCCUUGUUGCUGCUCCUCCUCUCUCUCUCCGCACCUAGCAGUGCAGCAGCCGGGACAAGGGGAAGGAGCAGCCCGACCCGGCUCCAUCUCUCUCCUUCAUGCAGGAGAACUGGAUGAGCAGGUGGCGAGGGAAGCCGCCACGGCUAGCGGCGGCGCUGCACAGGAACGUCCACCUCCAGGGACCAGAUCUUGGCUAUGAUAUAUGCUGCUGAUUUGGCUAUCAACUGCUAAAUCUACGAAUCAUUCAAAAUGUUUUGCCUAACUGCACAAGCCUUGCAUAUGACCACUGGGCCAUGUCUUUUGAUUUUACUACUGCUAUGGACAAAAGAAGGCUAAAGCUGGGACAGACAACAAUGUCAGGAGCCAACCGAGAAUUUUACUACUGCUAUGGACAAAAGAAGGCUAAAGCUGGGAAAGACAACAAUGUCAGGAGCCAACCGAGGAUUUUACUACUGCUAUGGACAAAAGAAGGCUCAAGCUAGGAAAGACAACAAUGUCAGGAGCCAACCGAGAUCCGAAAUGCCGAGAAGCAGGGUUUAUUUUCUCUCAUCACCAUAACAAAGGGGAGACUCCAGGGAGAGAGAGGAAAGCUGUGCAAGUGCCCCUGGAAGCGAGGCAGCUCGGCGGCGUCGUGGAAGAGGAGCUACGCUUCCAUGGAGUAGAGCGACGAGGGGCUCCGGUGUCGCUGCAGAGGAGGGAGGAGAUCCGCCGCCACUGCACCUGACAAUUCGACAGGAACCUCUCUGGAUGAUUCUGUCAAUUCGGGUGUUAUGCAUUUUUGAAAGUGUUGUGCAAUGGCAGAAAUUGGCAAGAGGAUACCUCAAGUUGGUAUGAGGUUCAUAGAUUCGGAUGAGGCUUGGGUGUUUUGGGUAGAAUAUGGUGAGGAAAAGAUGCAAGUUUGAUGGAAAAGCGACUUCACACAGAUUUGUGUGUUCCAAUGAGGGCAUUAGAAGGAAAGCGCAAACUGAUCGUGAGCCAAAGCGCAAUCCCUGUAUAUGUACUUAUUUUAUUUUAGCCUAUCUCUGCUCAUGUGUGCAUCUCGUUCACUCUUUGGAUUAAACUAUAGCCAAGUGUACAACUAUACUUGCCUAAUAUAUCCAGUGUUCAGUGUCAAAAUUGUCCAGUUUGAAAAGGUUCCAUUACUUUACUGGCAUUGUUUCUUCUGUAUUCACUAAUCCUGCAAGUGUAGGCUGAGAACUAUAUACAAUUUGGACAGGUUCCAGUGUUGUGUUGCUGCCGUACAUGCCCAGUGCAGUUUUUGGAUUUCCACUGAGUGAUAGCUUUGUUUUGGUCUUCCAUAUAUCUGUGUUCUUAUUAUCAAGUCUCCACACAUGUCUUGUGCCCCCACAGGAAAUAGCAUUCUUUGACGUGACUAGAACAGGAAAGCUCUUAAGCAGGCUUUCUGAAGAUACCCAAAUUAUAAAGAAUGCCGCUACAACAAACCUUUCAGAAGCACUGCGUAAUCUGACUACCACAUCUAUUGGUCUUGGCUUUAUGUUUUCAACUUCAUGGAAGCUAACAUGUAAGUACCAGUUCCACAUGCUUGUGCUCUACAGAUUAAGAACUUUGUUGCAUCUCAUUUUGCUGACUGUGUGGCAUCUACCCGUGCAUCAAUAAAAUGAGACCAUGCUUGCAUGUGUUGUGUCUUCUGCACAUCACAGUAAAAUCUUUUGGUUCCCCAAAUGGUUUAAAAAAGAUGUUGACCUGUGACAGUUUCUUGUGUUUUUAUUAAGCCAAAUGUGGGCUGUGAAAUAUGUAAUUUGGAAUAUCUUGAUGCUUUGCUGCUGUUGUCAUUAUGUACUAGCAUUAACAUUUGUGAAAAUGGGCAAUCUGAAGAGGUCUUGAGUGCCAUGUCGGCCCUGUUUCUAUGCUUGUGUAGUUGUGCUUUUGCCAAGUCUGCAGGUGUGGGCUGUUUUGCUUUGGGCAAAUCUCAUGCAUUGGAUCUGCAUUGGACGGCAGAUGAGAGGGGGCCAGUUACAAUGUGACUUGCUAGAGGCAAGUCACUGGAUCUCAGUCCGCUAGGCGAUGUGUGGUAGAAGUUGUACUCACAGGAAGACUAUUGUGCUGUGUAUAAACCACGUUCUACGAUUCACUUCUGUUAUGCAUAUUUACUUUCCAGUUUUAGGACUGAAAUCCAUCCAUUGUGAUGAAUUUGGUUGUAUGGGCAUUACCUAUUUGACUUACGCUUGCUUCAUCACAUAUAAACUGCUUUUCUUUUCCCCACUGAUUGUAUGACCUAAAACUAUCAUGUAUAUGAGCCAAGUUAUUAGCAAUGUUUCACAUUUUCUUACUUGCAAUACUGUGCUUGCCUAUUCAGGUGUUCCAAGACCCAAAUCGUCAGAAAAACA